rnacentral:rRNA from 1 species
AUUGAACGCUGGCGGCAGGCUUAACACAUGCAAGUCGAGCGGGGGAGGUUGCUUCGGUAACUGACCUAGCGGCGGACGGGUGAGUAAUGCUUAGGAAUCUGCCUAUUAGUGGGGGACAACAUUCCGAAAGGGAUGCUAAUACCGCAUACGCCCUACGGGGGAAAGCAGGGGAUCUUCGGACCUUGCGCUAAUAGAUGAGCCUAAGUCGGAUUAGCUAGUUGGUGGGGUAAAGGCCUACCAAGGCGACGAUCUGUAGCGGGUCUGAGAGGAUGAUCCGCCACACUGGGACUGAGACACGGCCCAGACUCCUACGGGAGGCAGCAGUGGGGAAUAUUGGACAAUGGGCGGAAGCCUGAUCCAGCCAUGCCGCGUGUGUGAAGAAGGCCCUUUGGUUGUAAAGCACUUUAAGCGAGGAGGAGGCUCUUAAGGUUAAUACCCUUGAUGAGUGGACGUUACUCGCAGAAUAAGCACCGGCUAACUCUGUGCCAGCCGCCGCGGUAAGAC